rnacentral:lncRNA from 1 species
UAGGUUUCUGCUUCGCGUGAGUUUUACUUACCUCAAUUUAAGGGUGUGUCUUGUGUUCCGCUGUUUAAUAGCAAAGCAUAGGAAAUAGAUGGUGAAGUAAUGAUCAGCAAAUCGACUAAUUAUAUGAAGUAUACUGCGUUAACGCUGAAAAUUUGUUACUUCAAAUGAAUUUAGCUUGAUUGUAACACUUUGAUCAGGUUGCUUGUUCAUCAUUUGACCAACUGGUAUCUAAUUUUGAACAAUAGCAACUUACCUUUUAUCUCCUUUUCUCAGGAUAACCAAUAGAGUUUCUCACCAAAGCUUACACGGUGGACUCGAAUAAGAGAUGGAUACAGAAAAUCCUGCUCCAAUAGUUGAAAAGGAUGCCACAGAUGCCGAGACAUCAUUAGAUAGGUCAGUUCUUUUAGAUCUUCCACUUUUUGUAGCCUGAAUGUCUUAUCAUAUUUUCUCUCUUAAGUAUGGGAAUCUUCAAUAAACCUGUGGUCUCUUUGUUUUUAAACUUAUAAUGUGAUUUUUUUGAUAAAGUGGUAUUAAUAAAAGGCAUCAAGAAGAUGCGAGAAUUACAAGAGGUGACAUUUGAGCUUACAAAAAAUCUCUAGGUGACUAUACAAACCAUCUAAGCCAAGAACUAAUGAGUUAAUAAAGUCCUGAAGUUGUGCAUUAACAACACGUUACAAAUUGGACCUAUACAAAUUGGCAAUACACCUUGCCUUGAAGAUACGAAGUUGACUACCCAUCAAAACAUCUCAUUCCUCUCUAACCAAAUACACCAAAAAAAUACAAGCAGGUAUCAAAAUCCAGAUCUUCUUGAUGACUUUGUCAACUCUCCAUAGGCAGUUCUCAUAAGCAUCCUUAACUGAGAGGGGUGUGGCCAAUUAAGACCAAAGAGACAAAAAACAUGUUCCAUAUUUUUGAGGCCACCUCACAAUGAAGAAGAUGUCGGGUGGUUUCAGCCUCUUUUUUGCACCUAUAGCAUCUGUUUGGGAACUGUAUUUUCCUUUUCUUUAGAUUGUCUUGGCUAAGAUGCCUCAUAUAGAGCUGUCCAAGACUCCAAGUAAAACAAACAACCUUAGUUGGCAGCUUGGUCCUCCAAAUGAGUUUCCAAGACCAGUUGUCUAUCAUGGGGUUUCUAGAGCAUAAUUGUUGGUACUCUGCCUUGAUUGUAUAAAUUCCUUCUUUUUGGUAUCCCCAUUUGAGCUUGUCAACUUCCUGGGGAUGUGAUUUUUCAUGCAAGUUUGAUGCCAAAAUUGCUUCUUAUUCAAAGCUUACCUUCUGAUUUUGUUAAAUUUGCAAGGGCAUUGACCCCUUAUGUAGAUAGAGAACAGAUUUAUGCCUCCAUGGACGGAGAAAAAAUUAUUCUGUAUUGCUGGGAACCUUUUUCUUUUUUCUUUUGAUACUAGAGAAAUCUCAUGUGAGUUAGCUGGCAUACUGGUCAGCUCGGUAGGGAUCUUUUUGUGGUUGAUGAUACCAGCUAGGCAGCAACUAUUUUUUUUCACAAGUUUAACACAUUAUAAAAAGCCCAGAACCAUACCUUGUUCGUUUGUAGACAUUGUCUCACUGACUAACUUGCAAAAGUUCCUCACAAAAUUUAGAGAAUGCAUUUCUGCCUCUUCAUAACUCUAUUCUCAUAUCUUUGAAUCCUCAUAAAAGUUCCCAAAUCUCAGGAUAAAUACAGUAAUAAUUUGUGUACUCAGUUCAUGUAUUUAUUUUGACUUUGUUUUGACUGCUCUCUGCAUCAUUAUCAGUGGCAUAUCUAUACGAGUACUGAUUGUAAAGUUCUCUUGUUACAGCUCUCAUCUCGGGAAGAAGAUUCAGAAGAAAGUUCCAAAAAGAAUUCACAAAGCUGAGAGAGAGAAAAUGAAGAGAGAGCAUCUGAAUGAGCUUUUUCUUGGUUUGGCUGAUGCUCUUGGUAAUUUCUUGAUUGCUUAUAACUUUCCCAUGUCCACCUCUGACAAAUCCCCGGAAGUGGUUCCUCUAGUGUACAUUUUCAGUAAAUAGAUUGGCUAAUUUAUUAGACAUGGGUGUGCCUUAUUGGUGCAGAACUAUCUGAGCAGAUGAAUGGAAAAGCCUCUGUAUUGAGUGAAGCUGCUCGAUUUGUAAAGGACAUGCUUUCUCAGAUCAAGCAUAUGAGGACAGAAAAUACAACUUUGCUGUCUGAAUCUCAAUAUGUAAGUGUCCUAAUUUCUGGGAGUUUUGCCAGCUUGGAGAUGCUGCCCAUUUUUUCACUUUUUAAUGUCCUUUGAAGUUCGAACCUGGAUUCACAUAGAACAUUGUGCCACUAUAUGGACAUGGUAUAUACACUAAAUAGGAUAAAUAUGAGGUCCAAACUGAGAAGAGUUGCACCCCCUUGAAAUGAUCCGGCGUUCUAAUUAUCUAAUGUGAUCUCUCCAGUAACUCAAGGAAGAUACCAAAAAUGAUGUAAUAAUAAGACGGUGGGAUUCAUUUUUUUAUGAGUGAUUGAUUUUGCCCUUCAUUCCUCAUCCAGGAUGUCUGAUCCACUCAGUUGCAAUCUAUACAUUACAGCUUCACAUAUAUUCUGCUGUUAUUCUUUUCUAGUUCUGCAGUCACUAAACCUGUCUUAUUGACAGCUUAGCGUGGAGAAAAAGGAGCUUGAGGAUGAAAAUACAGCUCUAGAGGCUGAAAUUAGCAAACUGCAGACUGAGGUCAAAGCAAGGGAAGCUGAGACUAGUCUUGACCUAAAUCUAGCUCCUCCUGAAAUUCAUCACACAGAGUUUGCCUCACAAACUAACUAUAUGAGAUUGCCUGCUUCGGAGCACGCAUUUCAGCAGUCACAGAUGAUGAACCCUGUGUACGUCUUUCCCUUGAGUUCUAAUCCCCAGGCUUAUCCAGCGCCUGAUGCUGCAGAUUCCAUGGCUAUGCCCACAUCUACUGUGAAGAAACCACAGCCCAGAUACCCCACUCCAAAUGAUGUAUGGCCAUCCCAAAUCCUUGAAAAGAGGCCUCAGUUGUUGCGACAGGAGGUUCAAGAUGGUGCAUAAUAAUAGUAGUCUAGUAGAAACGAGACAUUCGUUCAUAGGGAAUGGCAUGUAUAAUUAGUUAGGUAAUGUAGAUUUAGACGAUAAGCAGCAGCAGCAGAUUCAGCAAUACUUUGGACUUGCAGCUCUCCAUUGUAUAUAACCUUUUUGUUGUAUUUUGAUCAGCAAUAACCUAGUUUGUCUGUCGAGUAUCGAGGUAGUAUCAGUUGAGAUCAACCAUACCAUAACAGUGUUAGAUAUACAGAAAUAUGUUGGUAAACAAAACCUGUAAGUAGGCGCUUGACGUGACAUCUAUGGAUUUUGAUGUUGAACUCUAACAAUGUUCUUACUGUUAAGGUCAUUUUCAAGCUCUGGGUUUCUCUAAGGUGGCCAAAAUUAGUCCUAGAAUUGACUUUAAGGGGUCGUUUGGUAGGGAGUAUUGGGAGAAAUAGUCCAAGUAUUAUGUGUGGUAUUAUUUAGUACUAUAUUUGGUAGGAAUUUUGGGUCUAUGUAUAAUCAAUCCAUGGAUUAGUUAUACACCCUACAUGGUAUUAUAGGGUGUAUAACUAAUACCUUCCAUUUGGUGGUAUUAGUUCUAAUACCAUGGGACUAAUCUAGGUAAAGACAAAAAUACCCCCUCAAAUCCUUUUAAUCAUUUUGUUUAUUUUCUUGAUUUUAUGUUUUAUAUUUAUACUAAUAAAUUUAUUUAAAUAAAUUAGCUUACAAAUUUUAUUAUUUAGAUAUAAUUUUUUGUUUCUAAAAUAUGAGUUAUUUAAUCUAUUUAUUAUUAAUAUAAAAUAUUAUAAUCCGACUAAUAUGGUAAUGUUGAUGUGUGAAUUUAAGAACAAUUCAUAAGUCAAAUAUUGCCUCUUAACAUAAGUCCAUUAAACAUUACACAAGUAGUACUAAAACAAGAGCAUAUAUAUAUAUAUAUAUAUAUAUAUAAAACAUCUCGAGUAUAAAAAUAGUUUAAUUUAGUUUGCUAUAUUUAUUUUAUUUUAUUUUAUGAUAAAGAGUUUUUUUUUUAAUUUAUUGAACAAAACAAAGUUCAAUAAAUUUUCUCUAUAAAUUAUUAUAGUUGUGUGACAUUUUGAGAUAUUAACUCCAAUUUAUUAAGAUGAUGAUUAUUUACUCUCAAAUAAUUUAAGUGAGAAAAUAGUGAACAUGACAAUAAAAAUUUUUAUUCUCCUAGCUAGUUAAAAUGCUAUAAAAAAAUAAUAUUAUCCGUCAAUUAUCUACCUUGACCCAAUUACAUGAAAUAGAAAAUUCCAUAAUAACUCAAGGGUAUAAUUGGAAAGAAUUUUUUUUGUAGAGUUUUAAACCACACACAAAACUAGGUAAGAAACAAUGAACCAAACACUUGAUAAAAAUAAUUCCUGCAUUACUAAUCCAUGCAUUACCAAUCUCUGCAUUACUAAUCCCUGUAUUAUUGAUCUUUGUACCAAUCGACCCCUAAGUAUCAUUAUUAUUGUAGAAAUCUUAAGAAAAUGACAGAAUUGGUCUCGUGUUUGGGAGUUAGUUUGAAAUAGUCACUUGGAUAUAUUUUUUUACAGUAUUUUUGUCCUUCCAUUAAAUUUAUGAAACGCGAUUUCAGUUUUCGUCAAAGAUUUAACAGAUGUUUGCUAUUAAAUUAAAUAGAAAUUGAGGGGAAACAACAGUUGUUUUACAAUGUUGACAAUUUUGAUAAGUUAAAAUAUGCUCACUUUUGAUAGUAUAAACUAUUAAAAACAGCAACACACACUAUAAUUAUAAAAGUGAUGUUUGGAAAGGUUAAAGUAUAUACAAAGUUGCUCCGUGUUUUGAAGAUAAAAAAAAUGUUUUAAAUUUUUUAAAAAUAUAGUGAUAAGGGUUUGAAAAAUAUCCUAACUUUGGUUGGAUUUGCUGUUGCGAUACUAAACUUUCAUGAGGACCUAUUACCUCCCUAGACUAUUUAAUACCGUAUUUUUUACCCCCUGAACUAUUUAAUAGUGUAUUUUAAAGGUAUAUAUUUGCCCACGUGGACACAUUACUAUUUAUAAUUUUGCAUUAUUUUUUAUGUUCACGUGGGCAAAUAUAUAUGUUUAAAAUACGGUAUUAAAUAGUCUAGGGAAGUAAUAGGUCCUCAUGAAAGUUUAGUAUCGCAACAGCAAAUUCGACCAAAAUUGAGAUAUUUUUCAGACCCUUAUCCCAAAAAUAUAUUUAAAGGACUAUUUUAAUAAACCUAUCCAAAAAUAAGAAGUAGGUUUUCUCAUUUGAGAUCUUGCACUCACUUGUUUUAAGUUGGUAUUUCACUAGAACGUACCAAAAAUGGUCUUUCGUGUAAAAUAAGAAUGGGUAGGAAGGGAAGGGACAAAUAUACAAGUCCCGCAAAGUUUGGUUGAGUUGUUGGAUGGUCGCACGUAUAUUAUCAAUUUUUUAUUCAGCCAACUCAUCUUUUAACGUGAAGGUAUUUUUUUCGCUGGAUGUUUUGAAGUUCAUAUUGAAGCUUCAAUUAAAUUUGAAUCACAUACAUGAUCUAUUUGAAAAUAACGCUCCUAACAUGAUUUUUCUCCACUCGAACCUGAGGUGUUUACUGCAAGAAACAUUUCUUUUUAUAUUUUUGCAGACAAAAAUCAUGGUAAUUGUUUGAAAAAUAAUUCUUGUGAAACUGAAGAUUAAAAAAUAACAAUCAAACUAGACUACCUAAGUUCUAACGAACUUUGCUUUUUUUGUUACUCCCACAUACAGUGAAUUUAAUUAUAGACUCUAGCUACCUUUUAUCUUCUUUUC